rnacentral:rRNA from 1 species
AUGGCGGCGGUGACGGGCGUUCACCGUCACCACUGGUCGGGCUGGAGGAUUGGGGGAGGUUCCCAGUUCGUUCCUCGGAAAGUUAUGCACACCAAUGGCGGCGGCGCGGCGCGUUCGCUCGGCCUCGGCCUCUCCCCAACCAAAGGGGCGGCGCUGGUAUUUCUCUUCCUCCUGCUCAUUGACGGUGCCCUGCUUGCCGCGUCUGCCACCACGGACACCAUCCUCCCCGGCGAGGGCAUCUCCGGGAACGAGACCCUGGUCUCCAGGAGCGGCGGCUUCGAGCUGGGCUUCUUCUCCCCAGGCCCCGGCAUCCACUACUUCCUGGGUGUCCGGUUCCGGAAUAUGGGCCACAGCCCUACCUUCUGGCUCGGGGACAGGGUCGUCAUCACCGACCUGCCCGCCGCGUCGCUGGAGAUCUUCGCCGACAGUCUCUGCAUCAAGCAGAAUGGAGCCAGCCUCCGGUGCAUGCCGUCGCCGGGCGGCAAUGUGUCGUCCGCCGCCGUGGCGGUCCUCCUCGACAACGGCAACCUGGUGGUGAGGGACCAGGGGAACUCCUCCCUGGUCCUGUGGCAGAGCUUCGACUACCCCAGCGACGCGCUGCUCCCCGGAGCUAGGCUCGGGCUCGACAAGGACACCGGGAAGAACGUCUCGCUGACGUUCAAGAGCUUCUCGCACAACGGCAGCCUCAGCGUCGACGCGAACCGCAGGAACGGGUUCGUGCUCACCACCGACGGCCAUGCCAACCGCGGCACCUUCCCGGACUGGAUGGUGUCCUCUCAAGACAAUGGCAGCUCGCUGCUGCUCAAUCACAGGGAGGGCCUGAACAGUACCGAGUUCUUGCAGUUCCAUCUGGGGCAAGUCAGCCUAAUGCGGUACUCGGAGCCGGAUCCCGCCGGAAACGGCACCGGUGGUUGGGUUGCUCGCUGGUCCUUCCCUUCCAAUUGCAAGUCCGGCGGGUUCUUCUGCGGUAAGUUCGGCGCCUGCACGAGCAGCGGGAAGUGCGGCUGUGUGGGCGGGUUCACGCCGUCGUACCCGAUUGAGUGGGGGCUUGGGUACUUCGUCAACGGCUGCUCGAGGUCUCUCCCGCUGAGCUGCGAGUCCGACGGCCAGACGGAGCACGAUGACUCCUUCGCCCCGUUGGACAAGCUGCAAGGGCUUCCUUACGACGCCCAGGAAGAGAUGGCCGGAACUGAUGAAGUCUGCAGAGAGGCUUGCCGGAGCAAAUGCUACUGCAUCGCCUACUCGUAUGGCGGCCAUGGAUGCAAGCUAUGGUACCACAACCUGUAUAAUCUGAGCUUGGCUGCCAGGCCACCGUACAGCAAGAUCUACCUCCGUUUGGGCCCCGCGCCCAGGAACAAGAAAGGCUUGCAAGCAAGAGGAAUUGCAUUAUUGGUCACUGGAUUGAUAUGCUUUGCUUCCUUGAUACUGAUAAUGGUGCUGCUAUGGAGAUUCAGGAGGAAUUCGCUUGCCGCCGGGAAGUUUGAAGUGGAAGGCCCUCUUGUGGUCUACACUUAUGCACAGAUCAAGAAAGCCACGAUGAAUUUCUCCGAUAAAAUCGGCCAGGGGGGAUUCGGAAGUGUUUUCAGGGGAACGCUGCCGGGAUCAACAGACAUCGCUGUGAAGAAUCUCAAAGUAAUCGGGGAAGCAGAGAAGCAGUUCAGAACAGAGGUGCAGACACUCGGAGCGAUCCAACAUAAUAAGCUGGUCCGUCUGCUGGGAUUCUGUGUCAAGGAGGACAGAAGGUUGCUCGUCUAUGAGUACAUGCCAAAUGGCUCCUUGGACGCUCAUCUCUUUAGGGAGAAAUCUGGUGUGUUGAGUUGGAACGUUCGCUACCAAAUUGCACUGGGCAUCGCCAAGGGUCUCGCCUAUCUGCAUGAAGAAUGUGAGGACUGCAUCAUACACUGCGACAUCAAACCCGAGAACAUACUGCUCGACGCGGAGUUCUGCCCCAAGAUCGCCGAUUUCGGCAUGGCGAAGCUGCUGGGACGGGAAUUCAACUCCGCGCUGACCACCAUGCGAGGAACCAUGGGAUACCUCGCGCCGGAGUGGCUGUCCGGGCUGCCCAUCACCAGGAAGGCCGACGUGUACAGCUUCGGCAUUGUGCUCUUCGAGAUCGUCUCGGGGAGAAGGUGCACUGAGGUGGUGAAAAUUGGGAGCCAUCGGUAUUUUCCUCUCCACGCGGCUGCGCAGGUGAACGAAGGGGAGGUUCUGUGCCUGCUGGACGCUCGGCUGGAAGGCGAUGCUAAUGUGGAGGAGCUGGAGGUCAUCUGUAGGGUCGCCUGCUGGUGCAUCCAGGACCAGGAGAACGAUAGGCCGUCAAUGGGGCAAGCUGUUCGCAUGUUGGAAGGUGUCGUGGACGUUGAUAUGCCUCCAGUACCAACUUCGCUUCAGGACCUUAUGGAGGGUGAUGGAAGUGAUAUAUAUCCUGAUUCCUGA